rnacentral:rRNA from 1 species
AGAGUUUGAUCCUGGCUCAGGAUAAACGCUGGCGGUGUACAUAAGACAUGCAAGUCGAACGGGAGAAGACAGGAAGAUUUAUCUACUUGUUGGACACCGUGGCGGACGGGUGAGUAACACGUAAGCAACCUGCCUAUAAGAGGGGAAUAACAGUGAGAAAUUACUGAUAAUACCGCAUAAGCUGGAGGUAUCGCAUGAUACAUUCAGAAAAGAUUUAUCGCUUAUAGAUGGGCUUGCGUCUGAUUAGCUAGUUGGUGAGAUAACAGCUCACCAAGGCGACGAUCAGUAGCCGGAUUGAGAGGUUGAACGGCCACAUUGGGACUGAGACACGGCCCAGACUCCUACGGGAGGCAGCAGUCGGGAAUAUUGCACAAUGGAGGAAACUCUGAUGCAGUGACACCGCGUAUAGGAAGAAGGUCUUAGGAUUGUAAGCUAUUGUCGUGUGAGAAGAAAAUGACCAUCACAGGAGGAAGCCCUGGCUAAAUAUGUGCCAGCAGCCGCGGUAAUACAUAUGGGGCGAGCGUUAUCCGGAUUUAUUGGGUGUAAAGGGUGCGUAGGCGGGAAAAUAAGUCAGUAUGUGAAAUCCCUCGGCUCAACUGAGGAACUGCAACUGAAACUAUUUUUCUUGAGUGUUGAAGGGGAAAGUGGAAUUCCUAGUGUAGCGGUGAAAUGCGUAGAGAUUAGGAGGAACACCAGUGGCGAAGGCGACUUUCUGGGCAACAACUGACGCUGAGGCACGAAAGUGUGGGGAGCAAACAGGAUUAGAUACCCUGGUAGUCCACACC